rnacentral:rRNA from 1 species
UACAGAGGUCUCAAGCGUUGUUCGGAUUCAUUGGGCGUAAAGGGUGUGUAGGCGGCGCGGUAAGUCGGGUGUGAAAUCUUGGAGCUUAACUCCGAAACUGCAUUCGAUACUGCCGUGCUCGAGGACUGGAGAGGAGACUGGAAUUUACGGUGUAGCGGUGAAAUGCGUAGAUAUCGUAAGGAAGACCAGUGGCGAAGGCGGGUCUCUGGACAGUUCCUGACGCUGAGGCACGAAGGUCAGGGGAGCAAACGGG